UGACUACAUUGUGUCCAUGCACUGCUGCUUUCACUGUGCUGCUGCGUCGACUGAACUUCCUCCAUGGAGGAUCAUUAAAGGUGCAUCUCAUCUGACCUUGUCUUUUCUUUAUGCAACACAAAAAAUAUAAAAACAAAUAAUGAAUAUAGUCAUAAAAGACUGUUGCAGUGAUCCAGGUGUGAUGAGAGAAACUAAUGUCAAAUAGUUUCUGUAUCUUUGAAAUUCUGUCAAUGUUCCUUAGUUAAUAGAAAUAUGUUUGUAAGUUUAGUGACAUGCUGCUCUACAUUUCAUCACAUCUCACAUCAAAAGGAGGGAAUUUGAACAAGGAAAUGUUUGCUGAUCAAAAACCUCAAUAAUCAGACAGGUCUCAUGUCAAAUACCACUUUGCUCUAUAAUCCUAAUAUGACGUGUACAAUAGUAASUGUAUAGUUUGUGUUUGUACAGGAACAGCCCUCACAGACUCUGAAUGCUCUGACUGCAGUGAUGGAACAUUUUCUGAUGGGACCCGUACAUCUUGUCAAGCACACACACAAUGUGAAUCACUAACCCUCCAGCUGAAGCGACCAGGAACAACUUCAACUGAUGCUGAAUGUGAAAUUAGCAGUUUAAUUGUCACAGUGGGAAUCAUCACUUCAGUGGUUUUGGUUGUUUUAGUUUUAUCUGCCAUCGCCUUCGUUUACAGGAAGAGGAAAACAUGUCAUUCAGGUACGAUGUGUGUGUGAUCAAAGAAAAUGUUCUCAUGGAUGAUAAGAAYCCAUCAAGUCAUGAUGUCAUCGAGUAAGAGGUUCUUCAUCUGUUUCUUUCUGUAACAGGAAAAAAAAGAAAUUCCACAGAGAAGGGAAACACAGCUGGAGGAGAAGCUGUGAAUAUGAUGGAGAGAACAUAAUGAACAGCAGCAGCAAAAGUGAUGAACCUGCAGAGAACCAGUAAACUGCCACUGUUCACUGCAGAGUGAAUGUGCUCUAGAAUCCAGGUAUAUCCCUCUGGGUUCUGGUACAUUGUUUUUGCAGGGUACAGAAAAAACCACUGCUCUGUUUCACAUCACUUCACAGAUGUCACUGCACCCAAACUACAGUGAGCUGGGAAUAUGAAACUUGGAGCAUGUUUAUUAAAACUGCCUGAAUCUCCUGCUGACAGUGAGUGAGCUGCACGUGCCUCAACACUCAGACUUCAUGAUCCUCUGUGGAGAGAUAACUCACAGCUGGAUCUGGAAUAUCAUUUCUAAGUGCUGGCACAGUGGCAUGAUGGGACAAAUGGCCACCCUCAGUGCAUGAACUGAGAUUAUUGUCGUAUUCUUUUAUUGUGUUUUAUUUUCUUCACAACAGACACUUGUAUCUUGGAAGGACAAGCAUUAAAUAGCAUAUUUACCAUGUAAGUAUGUUUCACUGUGAGGUAUCAGCACAGUGGUGUGAUGUUGGUGCUGUCGCCUCACKUCAAGGAGGGUCCCGCUUCGAAUGGCUCCAGCUCUCCCCACAACCCUUCAAGGAAAAGCAUUAUAGAUGAUGGAUGUCUGUGAGUUGUGAUAUGAAAUGUCAGCAGGCGGUCUGCCCCUUUAAUUCAUCACAAUCUGAUGAUUCGUUUUAAUGAUUCAAAAACACUGUUCAGUGUUUAUGAAGCUGUACAGAUCUUAAUGCUCGGUUAUGUUGAAGCCUUCUUUGGACUUUUAUUGUGAAAAUACACAUGUAUGUUCGUAUGAUUAGCACUUCUAUCAUAGCACUUWWACACUUAAAGAAUAUUUCACAAGUAGCAGGUAUGAUCCUCAGAUGAGGGCUUGACAAUUGUUUCUAUAUUUCCUUUUACCCCAUCGACRGUGAYAUGUUGUGGUUUCUCUCUUCUCUCUCUUGUGACAGAYGUACUUAUUGUAACUCGCUUUGGACAAAGCAUCUGAUAAAUGUGCUAAAUGUAAAUGUGAAUUUAUUUACCUUUCUAAAUGUGUGUUUGAGUGAAGAUUCUGGGUUUUACCUSUAAACAUCUGUUUGAAACACAGAUGUCUCUUUCUAAACAGAAGAGUGUAACACUGGGGGACAUUCAGUGCAGAUGGACAAAAUAGAGUAGAUGUAGUACCAGAGUCUGGUUCGUAGUAGUAUCUGUUACUAAGCAAUAUUAUUAGGCUCUAUGACACCAUUAGAUCAUUAUACUGAAGCAGCUGUGUAACCUGUUUUAUAUACAGCSAUGUUAGAUAUGUUGUGAAAGCAUUUGAAAACUUCAGAGGGGACAAGCUUUUAACAACUCAGACAUUUGAAAUAAGUAAAUUUCUUUUUCAAAACCACUGUUUUAGUUUUUAACAAUGUGAUUUAACAGCUUGUUAUAUUGUCUAUCAAAGAAAUUAAACCAGAUGUUUGUGUUUCAUAAAUUUGGUUAAAACCUUCA